rnacentral:rRNA from 1 species
GGCUUGGUCGGGCGGUCCGCCUCACGGUGUGUACUGUCUGACUGAGUCUUACCUCUUGGUGAGCCGGCGUGCGCUUUAUUGUGUGCGUCGGGGAACCAGGACUUUUACCUUGAGAAAAUUAGAGUGUUUAAAGCAGGCGCUUGCUUGAAUACAUUAGCAUGGAAUAAUGGAAUAGGACCUCGGUUCUAUUUUGUUGGUUUCUAGGGCCGAAGUA